GCUACAGGCUUAACACAUGCAAGUCGAGGGGCAGCAUGGUCUUAGCUUGCUAAGGCCGAUGGCGACCGGCGCACGGGUGAGUAACACGUAUCCAACCUGCCGUCUACUCUUGGACAGCCUUCUGAAAGGAAGAUUAAUACAAGAUGGCAUCAUGAGUCCGCAUGUUCACAUGAUUAAAGGUAUUCCGGUAGACGAUGGGGAUGCGUUCCAUUAGAUAGUAGGCGGGGUAACGGCCCACCUAGUCUUCGAUGGAUAGGGGUUCUGAGAGGAAGGUCCCCCACAUUGGAACUGAGACACGGUCCAAACUCCUACGGGAGGCAGCAGUGAGGAAUAUUGGUCAAUGGGCGAGAGCCUGAACCAGCCAAGUAGCGUGAAGGAUGACUGCCCUAUGGGUUGUAAACUUCUUUUAUAAAGGAAUAAAGUCGGGUAUGCAUACCCGUUUGCAUGUACUUUAUGAAUAAGGAUCGGCUAACUCCGUGCCAGCAGCCGCGGUAAUACGGAGGAUCCGAGCGUUAUCCGGAUUUAUUGGGUUUAAAGGGAGCGUAGAUGGAUGUUUAAGUCAGUUGUGAAAGUUUGCGGCUCAACCGUAAAAUUGCAGUUGAUACUGGAUAUCUUGAGUGCAGUUGAGGCAGGCGGAAUUCGUGGUGUAGCGGUGAAAUGCUUAGAUAUCACGAAGAACUCCGAUUGCGAAGGCAGCCUGCUAAGCUGCAACUGACAUUGAGGCUCGAAAGUGUGGGUAUCAAACAGGAUUAGAUACCCUGGUAGUCCACACGGUAAACGAUGAAUACUCGCUGUUUGCGAUAUACAGCAAGCGGCCAAGCGAAAGCGUUAAGUAUUCCACCUGGGGAGUACGCCGGCAACGGUGAAACUCAAAGGAAUUGACGGGGGCCCGCACAAGCGGAGGAACAUGUGGUUUAAUUCGAUGAUACGCGAGGAACCUUACCCGGGCUUAAAUUGCAGAUGAAUUACGGUGAAAGCCGUAAGCCGCAAGGCAUCUGUGAAGGUGCUGCAUGGUUGUCGUCAGCUCGUGCCGUGAGGUGUCGGCUUAAGUGCCAUAACGAGCGCAACCCUUGUUGUCAGUUACUAACAGGUUCCGCUGAGGACUCUGACAAGACUGCCAUCGUAAGAUGUGAGGAAGGUGGGGAUGACGUCAAAUCAGCACGGCCCUUACGUCCGGGGCUACACACGUGUUACAAUGGGGGGUACAGAGGGCCGCUACCACGCGAGUGGAUGCCAAUCCCCAAAACCUCUCUCAGUUCGGACUGGAGUCUGCAACCCGACUCCACGAAGCUGGAUUCGCUAGUAAUCGCGCAUCAGCCACGGCGCGGUGAAUACGUUCCCGGGCCUUGUACACACCGCCCGUCAAGCCAUGGGAGCCGGGGGUACCUGAAGUGCGUAACCGCGAGGAGCGCCCUAGGGUAAAACUGGUGACUGGGGCUAAGUCAUAAC
rnacentral:rRNA from 1 species